rnacentral:tRNA from 2 species
GCGGUCGUGGCGGAAUGGCAGACGCGCUAGCUUGAGGGGCUAGUGGAGGCAACUUCGUGGAGGUUCGAGUCCUCUCGACCGCA